rnacentral:rRNA from 1 species
GACGGAGGAUGCAAGCGUUAUCCGGAAUGAUUGGGCGUAAAGCGUCUGCAGGUGGCAGUUCAAGUCUGCUGUCAAAGACCGGGGCUUAACUUCGGAAAGGCAGUGGAAACUGAACAGCUAGAGUAUGGUAGGGGCAGAGGGAAUUCCUGGUGUAGCGGUGAAAUGCGUAGAGAUCAGGAAGAACAUCGGUGGCGAAGGCGGGUCUCUGGGCCGAUACUGACGCUGAGGAGCGAAAGCGUGGGGAGCGAACAGG